rnacentral:snRNA from 1 species
UGUUGUGAGUUGUUCUUUACUUU